UAUCCCAGAGCAGCCUGUGAUAUUUAACCUGCUGGAUUCUGUUGGAAAAGAUGGAUUUCCUUUACCCAGCCAUCAGUGACUGUGACCUGGGCUGCUGGAAGGUGGAGGAAAGCUGGUCAGUGCAGAAAUAUCAGCUGCUCCACUCUCACAGACCUGGUUUGUAAUGCUGGGCAAGACCUUCUGACUUAACUGUGGCCACCAGCUCUGCUGGCAGGGGCCACCUCAGUGCUCGGUGGUGCCUCUAUGUGUGUCCUGCAGCCCCAAGAUUUCCAGUGUGAUCCUUUGGACAUGAUCAGCAGUGCAGCUUGGAGAGCUGGUCCCCACGUUCCUGGCUCACUCCUCCUGGAGGGUCAGCUCUCCCAGGGAGAUGACAAUUUUCAUGAUAAAUAAAGCCUAGUGACUAUGUUUUGGCUAAUUUUCCACCUCUGGUGACCAGUGGCCAGUUGGACACACGCUGCUGUUUCUCUAUUCUCUCCUGGGAUGACUGUCGCCGACGGUGCCUCUGCUUUGAUGAGGCUUUCCCCGGAUUUGAGGCAGGGAAUUGCUCUGUCCCGCAAUUCUGGUUUGUUGUGAGUCCACCUAGUGGCCCACAGCUUUAUGGUCGGCUUUGCUGGGUGCAGGGAGGCUUGUGAGGACAUCUCAGAAAAGUUCGUGCAUCCAGGGCAAGCUCUAGAAAGAAUUUUACCUCUGCACAGUACCUGAGCGGCUCAAAACAGGAGAAAACACACCUGGAAGCAAAUGUACAACUCCAAAUCUUGGACCUGUAGACACUGUAGACAUUGCAGAAUCUCCAGACCUUGCACUUAGACUCUUCCCAUUGGCAGCAUCUUCCCCGGUGUGCCAAGGCCAUGUCAUGGAGAACAUGUGUCACAGAGAACUUUGGUUCCUCUUCCCACACUUCUGUGACUCUCCCAGGGCUGUGAGCUGCCCAGAAACCCCUGCCAUGAAGAUUCUGCUGGAAAUGAAUGAUUCAGCCUGAAUUCUCAUCCUCUGUCUCACAGGUGGUUUGUGCUCCUCAUGUGUCAAUGUGGCCUGACAGCUUCUGUGCUGGGCAGACCUCUGGAGGGACCAUGUGGAGCAGUUGGGAGUUUUGGGAAUGCCUUGGUGAUUAUCAGAGCAGCUGUCUGGGUUAGGCAGCCAGGCUCAGUGAGCCCACACUGCUCUUCAGCCUUCCAAAGGGCCUCUGCUUCAGGGUGGCACCCAUAUCCCUGACUGCUGUCCCUUGGAUCCCUUGGUGGAUCUCAGGAUGGACUGUCCUGGGCUGGUGACUCACAGCUUUCUCAGCCUAAUCACUGCUUGUGCAUCCAUUCCCUGCAGGAGCUUCUGGCAUUGGCCAUUUUAACCCUGCUGGAGGGGGGGCUGUAGUUCUGGAGGAUUCCCAGUAUCUGUGAGUGCAGUAAGAGCAGAACAGCUUGACCCAGGGCUCGCAGUAACAACCAAAUCCCUGUGAGGCUGUUUCCUCCCUGGCUCACUUGUGUCUGUCAGUGCCUUGUAACCACUGUCCCAAUAGAUGAAUGCCUGUGCCCACCUCAGAGAGCAUCUGGGGGGGCAGUGAGCCCCCCACCCCUCUGGAGAGGGACUCCUCUACUGUCCCUUGUCAUGAGGACAAAACCCUGGGCAAGCCCUCUGGGCUCUUUGAAAUGAGUCCUUUUGGUUCCUCCACUGUUGUUUCCUUUCCAUGUUCUCACUGAAGAUCCUCAUGGCUACACAUGAGCCACUGGCCUUGGGUGGCACUGAGCUACCCACAGCAGGAAUAAGGACAUUUUGGACUCAGUGGCUCCCUGGGAGGGCCGUGGGCUCCUGAGUGAGGUCACACCCACAGGAGACCCCAGUUCCUUGCCAUGCAGAGCUCCCUGCUGGCUUAGCCCCAUCCUCAUCCCACGGCCACUAAAGCCUGUCCAGCCAUGUAGCUCAGAGCUGUUAUCAAUCACUGUGAGCCCUCCUGCCCUCACCCAGAACUGCCCCAGGGGAGCCCAUUGCUCAGCACAGGCCAAACCCAGUGCCUGGAGGGGUGGGUGGCCGGGGUGCCCUGCUCACCUCCAGACCCACGGCUGCCACCUCAACCCCUCUCAGCUCACUCCCACCAGCUCCCACCUCCUCCUGCCCGAACACCCCCAUCAGCUGGGCUGUGGUCCCCACUCAUGUCCCACCUGCCCUUUGCUGCUGCUGGUUUUAUUUCCUUUCCAGGUUCCUUGGCUCUGGUCUCUGCUGUGCCGUGUUGGGAAGACAAGGAGAGUCCAGGUGUGAUCUCCACUUCUCCUCCCCAGCGGCGUCUGCUCUUCACGGCUUGGACAGUUCUGUUCCCACAUCAGUUGUAUCCCACGUCCUUAGAGGAAGGUGAUUCCCCCAUCCCAGCGUAAAUCCCAGGACAUGGCUAAUUUAAGGGGAGCCACCCCAGCUGCCAGCUCCCCAUGGGAACCACCACCCCAAAACCAGGCCUGGAACCAACCUGGCCUUGCAGCUCUCUGUGCCGCCACCGCCCUGGGGAGGCAGUGAGGGGUGAGGGUCCCACUGAGGUCCUGGCAGGAUCCCGGUGAGGUUUCGGGGCUGGCCGGAGCUGGGAACAUCCCUGCCCUCUUUGUGCUCCCCUGGUAAGCAGCGCAGUGCAAAUAUCAGCCGCGUUCUUUGAAAUGAAAAUAAAACUGAUGAAAGUCGGGCAAAUCCUCCUGCUGGCCCCUGCUGCUGGCCCGAGCAGUGGCUCUUUCUGCCGCCGAGCCGGCUCCCGCAGUUAUCAAUACAUUAUGUAUGCCGGUGUCCGUCGGCCAGAGCCUUUUGUUGAUGCUGAAUAUGUCCUGGCCAACAAAAGUGGACUGGAUUAGCCACAGUGGAUUAAAAGAUUUUCUUCUUGGAGUUUACCUAAUAAUAUAACAAUUGACAUUGA